CAUGUCUACAUGAGCCUGAUA
rnacentral:miRNA from 1 species